UGAGUUUGAUCCUGGCUCAGGAUUAACGUUGGCAGUGCGCCUAACACAUGCAAGUCGAGCGAUAUAGCGGCAGACGAGAGAGUAAUAGUAAGGAACUUACCUCCGAGUGAAGGAUAGCCAGCCGAAAGGUUGGGUAAUCCUGCAUAAUAUCGAAAGAUCAAAGGUCCGCCUUUGGCGGAGCGCUUGGGGAGAGGCCUUACUCCUAUCAGCUUGUUGGUGAGGUAAUGGCUCACCAAGGCGAUGACGGGUAGCUGGUCUGAGAGGAUGAUCAGCCUCGAUGGGACUGAGACACGGCCCAUACUCCUACGGGAGGCAGCAGUUGGGGAUUUUGCACAAUGGAGGAAACUCUGAUGCAGCGACACUGCGUGAAGGAUGAAGGUUCUAGGAUCGUAAACUUCUUUUAUCAGGGAGUAAUCUUGAAAGUACCUGAUGAAUAAGGACCGGCUAACUACGUGCCAGCAGCCGCGGUAAUACGUAGGGUCCGAACGUUAUCCGGAAUUGUUGGGCGUAAAGAGUUCGUAGGUGGCAAGAAAAGUCGGGCAUUAAAGCCCUCGGCUCAACCGAGGAAUCGUAUCCGAAACUUUCUAGCUAGAGGUUCGCAGAGGCAGAUGGAAUUCAUGGUGUAGCAGUGGAAUGCGUAGAUAUCAUGAAGAACACCAAUGGCGAAGGCAGUCUGCUGGGCAACACCUGACACUGAGGAACGAAAGCGUGGGUAGCGAACGGGAUUAGAUACCCCGGUAGUCCACGCCGUAAACGAUGCACACUAGGCAUUUGGAGUAUCGACCCUUCGAGUGCCGAAAGCUAAACGCGUUAAAGUGUGCCGCCUGGGUAGUACGGCCGCAAGGCUAAAACUCAAAGGAAUUGACGGGGACCCGCACAAGCGGUGGAACAUGAGGUUUAAUUCGAUACUAAGCGAAGAACCUUACCAGGACUUGACAUCUCUGGAACCCCCUAGAAAUAGGGGGGUGCCUUCGGGAGCCAGAUGACAGGUGUUGCACGGUCGUCGUCAGCUCGUGCUAUGAAGUGUCCCGUUAAGUCGGUUAACGAGCGCAACCCCUGCUGUUUGUUGAAUUUUUCAAACAGGACUGCCGGCGUUAAGUCGGAGGAAGGUGGGGAUGACGUCAGAUCAGCGUGGCUCUUACGUCCUGGGCGACACUCGUGUUACAAUGGGUAGUCACAAAGGGUUGCAAUACCGCAAGGUGGAGCUAAUCCCAUAAAACUACCCCCAGUUCGGAUUGAGGGCUGCAACUCGCCCUCAUGAAGCCGGAAUCGCUAGUAAUCGUAGGUCAGCCAUACUACGGUGAAUACGUUCUCGGGUCUUGUACACACUGCCCGUCAAGUCAGGAAAGCCGGUAACAUCUUAAGUGCCCAACAGGGUACCACGGUGGGAUCGGUGAUCAGGACUAAGUCGUAACAAGGUAACC
rnacentral:rRNA from 1 species